UACGUAGGGGGCAAGCGUUGUCCGGAUUUAUUGGGCGUAAAGAGCGUGUAGGCGGUCAGGUAGGUCCGUUGUGAAAACUCGAGGCUCAACCUCGAGACGCCGAUGGAAACCAUCUGACUAGAGUCCGGAAGAGGAGAGUGGAAUUCCUGGUGUAGCGGUGAAAUGCGCAGAUAUCGGGAGGAACACCAAUGGCGAAGGCAGCUCGCUGGGACGUGACUGACGCUGAGACGCGAAAGCGUGGGGAGCAAACAGG
rnacentral:rRNA from 1 species